UAGAGUUUGAUCAUGGCUCAGGACGAACGCUGGCGGCGUGCCUAAGACAUGCAAGUCGGGCGGGGGGCGCCAGACCGGUGCCUUCAGCGGCGGACGGGUGAGUAACACGUGGGAAUCUGCCCAUCCGACCGGGAUAACCGUGCGAAAGCGCGGCUAAUACCGGAUACGCUCGUUCGGGGGGGACCCGGGCGAGGAAAGGGAUGCGCCCUGGGAGGGGGCAUGCGCGGAUGGAGGAGCCCGCGGCCCAUUAGCUGGUUGGUGGGGUAAGGGCCCACCAAGGCGACGAUGGGUAGCCGGCCUGAGAGGGUGGUCGGCCACACUGGGACUGAGACACGGCCCAGACUCCUACGGGAGGCAGCAGUCGGGAAUCUUCCCCAAUGGGCGCAAGCCUGAGGGAGCGACGCCGCGUGAGCGAGGAAGGCCUUUGGGCUGUAAAGCUCUGUCCUUGGGGACGAAGGGCGCGGGGUCGAAGAGGCCCUGCGGGUGACGGUACCCGAGGAGGAAGCCCCGGCUAACUACGUGCCAGCAGCCGCGGUAAUACGUAGGGGGCGAGCGUUGUCCGGAAUGACUGGGCGUAAAGGGCGUGUAGGCGGCCCGGCAGGUCUGGGGUGAAAGGCACGGGCUCAACCCGUGGGAUGCGCCAGGGACGGCCGGGCUUGAGGGCAGGAGAGGGGAGCGGAAUUCCCGGUGGAGCGGUGAAAUGCGUAGAGAUCGGGAAGAACACCAGUGGCGAAGGCGGCUCCCUGGACUGCCCCUGACGCUGAGGCGCGAGA
rnacentral:rRNA from 1 species